GAUGAACGCUGGCGGCGUGCCUAAUACAUGCAAGUCGAACGCAGUGGGGACGGGCGCGUAACACGUGGGUAACCUCCCAUCAGAGGGGAUAACACUUGGAAACAGGUGCUAAACCGAUACUGAUGGAUGAACCCGCGGUGCAUGAGCUAGUUGGUGAGGUAACGGCUCACCAAGGCCACGAUGCAUAGGCGACCUGAGAGGGGGUUCUGCAACACUGGUACUGAGAGACGGCCAAUAGGCCUACGGGAAGCAGCAGUAGGGAAUCUUCUGCAAUGGCCGAAAGUCUGACCGAGCAACGCCGCGUGAGUGAAGAGGGUUUUCGGAUCGUAAAACUCUGUUGUUAGAGAAGCGGUAUCUAACCAGAAAGCCACGGCUAACGACGUGCCAGGAGCCGCGGUAAGAC
rnacentral:rRNA from 1 species